CCUACGGGUGGCAGCAGUGAGGAAUAUUGGUCAAUGGACGAGAGCCUGAACCAGCCAAGUAGCGUGAAGGAUGACUGCCCUAUGGGUUGUAAACUUCUUUUAUAUGGGAAUAAAAUGUUCCACGUGUGGGUUUUUGUAUUUACUUUAUGAAUAAGGAUCGGCUAACUCCGUGCCAGCAGCCGCGGUAAUACGGAGGAUACGAGCGUUAUCCGGAUUUAUGGGGUUUAAAGGGGGCGUAGGUGGGUUGUUAAGUCAGUUGUGAAAGUUUGCGGCUCAACCGUAAAAGUGCAGUUGAAACUGGCAGUCUUGAGUACAGUAGAGGUAAGCGGAAUUCGUGGUGUAGCGGUGAAAUGCUUAGAGAUCACGAAGAACUCCGAUUGCGAAGGCAGUUCACUGGACUGCAACUGACACUGAUGCUCGAAAGUGUGGGUAUCAAACAGGAUUAGAUACCCUAGUAGUC
rnacentral:rRNA from 1 species